AAGAACUUUUUGGAAUCGGCUGGUGGACCAGCCUUCGUCAGAGUACUGUAAUUGUGAUGGCCUCUGCCAAAGGUCGCAGCGAUACCAACGUGCUGGGCAGAAAACGUUGAGAGCGGGGGCCGACGGCCAAGAUUUCAGCGGCACGAGAUCGUCACGGCAUUCGCAGUUGUCCGGUCAAUACUUGAACAUGCCAGCAUGGUUUGGGAUCCUUGGACACGAGUGAACAUAGACAAACUGGAAAGAGUACAGAGCACAAAAACCCUUCUAACUUCUGCAUAAUUUGACGGGCAACCAAGGCAUGUAGAGCUAAUACAGCUGAAGACUCCCGAACGACAGCCAGCUGUGACAGUAUCGCUGAAUUGCUAUAGGCACUGCAUCGCGUAAACCCAGGUCAGCAUGUCACCGAUUGUGCCGUCCGAAUACGCUAGUGUUCAACUGCGAGUGCAAGAGCGUCCUAGCAAAUAAAACAGGUGCGUGAAUUCACGUGAAGUAGGGCGUGUACCAUCGUUUGAUUUGUUUCAAUGAAAGACUGAUAAUAAAAGAUCGUAUACACAAGAAAAAUGGCGUCUUGAAACCUGCCGUGACGCGUCGCAGUUUUCAGAUAUGAAGGGCGCAUACGCUGGCGAAGUCUGACCGAACAGCGGACGUGAGUAACGGACUUUUUUUUUUCUUUUUUGUCUCGCAAUCGAGUUUUCUUCGACGUGAUGUGAAAAGCUCCUUGAACCGCGGUUUCCACCAAAGCGUGCAGUUAUCUGACGUGGUUUAUUGUGAUAUUAGCUUUUCUAUUCAGUUUUGAUGUGCGCAACAUCAUGCAACCACACUGUCAUUUUGCAGUAUGUACGCAACACUGCGGCCUCAGCAGGGCGCUAGUAGUAAUAAGCAUACGUCCUCAUUGCGUGCAAUGCGCGCAAAAUAUUGGACUCCGUCUCAGCUUGUUUUUGAAACCUGGUGUUGUUGGCUAGACUGCGAAGUGCUUCAGACUUGCCUUCUCUCUUUCUUUUCUCCUCCCCCUCCUCCUCUUAUAGUUGCUUUCUGCGUUAACUAUAGGGCUACGAUUAGGUGCAGCCCGUGGCGAACGCUACGCGUUAGAGAGUUUAUCACGCUUGUGUCAUAAUAAUGUGUCACUGAAAUGGAAUCUACGAGGCAAGCUGUGCUUCUCGAGACGCCGCCUGAGACUGCAUUUCACGUGUGCGCAGACGACACUCUAACGCGUCGUCUGUUUGACGUCUCUCGGUCAACAACUCCGGUGCGAGCCCUACUAAACUAUCUUUCGCAGUAAUGUGACCUGGAUUACGCUUCAGACGGGGCAUAUAGACGCUCGUACGCGGAGAAACGCGCGAUGCAUUCGCACGGACGCGCUCGCGAUUGGCUGACACCGGCUGCAGCUUCCGGUAUAGCAGCGCCAUAUUAUUGUGAAAAAAGUGCAGAAGGGCCCUCGCGAGAGCUCGAAGUCUACCGAGAAGUGCACGACGCGACCAGACGCGACGUUCUCGUGGUAGGGCGUCAGCGUGACCCCGCCGCUGCAGACGGCGUGCCCCGUCAGUCACUCGUCGUCAGUCGUGAGCAGCGUUACCUCAAAGAAAACCGCCGUGAAUGAAAUAUACAGUAGCGCAUCACGCCUGCGCGGAGGAAGGCUGUAGCGACGACAUCUGACAUAACUUCUUGCAUUCUUACGCAUUUCUUUUUUUCAGGCGGCAAGCGUUAUGUACAACAGCCCGGAAGUGCAGCCGGCGGCAGACGAGCGCGCCCCAUUCCAACCCGACUGCUUCCGACGUCCGAUCGUGACCGAUUCGAAACGGUGACGACAUCUGGGUGUAACGUGACAGCACCGUUCUUUUUUGUUUGGUGUCGUUUUGUUUUUGUUUUCCUUUCUUCGUCUGCUUGCUCGCCGGACGCUGCACUCUGGUGCACUCGAUGUCGCUUUGCCGUUGUAACACUUCGCGGCUAAUUCAUUCUCUCCGUGUGCCUCAUCGAUCACCAUCUUAUCGGUUGUUUUUUUUUCCGCUUCGAACGUAGGUUGAGGCGUUUUUACGCGCAUUGCAUUCCAAGCGCAGCCUCAACAUUAGGGCCCCAUUUUGCUAGCCUUAUAAAUGUGCAGUAAUCAUCUAUGCGCCUGUAUAUCGUUUUUGUUCUUAUUGUUUUACUAAUCGUUUCAAAGCAGGUUUUUUGUGUACACAUUGGACAUAUGUGACGCGUUGGGCUGAAUUGUCAUACCAGUUCCUGUUAUUGACGUAGAACCACGGGGUUCCAGUAUUUCUCAAGGUGAACACUCAAGCCAAAGGAUGUAGCCUGAAACUCAAGCCAUCGCACGACGUUGGGUCACUAAUAAAAUCAUUAUUCUCUUUGUCAA